rnacentral:rRNA from 1 species
AAUUGAACUCGCUGUGAAGAUGCAGUGUACCCGCGGCAAGACGGAAAGACCCCGUGAACCUUUACUAUAGCUUGACACUGAACAUUGAGCCUUGAUGUGUAGGAUAGGUGGGAGGCUUUGAAGCGUGGACGCCAGUCUGCGUGGAGCCGACCUUGAAAUACCACCCUUUAAUGUUUGAUGUUCUAACGUGGACCCGUAAUCCGGGUUGCGGACAGUGUCUGGUGGGUAGUUUGACUGGGGCGGUCUCCUCCUAAAGAGUAACGGAGGAGCACGAAGGUUAGCUAAUCCUGGUCGGACAUCAGGAGGUUAGUGCAAAGGCAUAAGCUAGCUUGACUGCGAGCGUGACGGCGCGAGCAGGUGCGAAAGCAGGUCUUAGUGAUCCGGUGGUUCUGAAUGGAAGGGCCAUCGCUCAACGGAUAAAAGGUACUCCGGGGAUAACAGGCUGAUACCGCCCAAGAGUUCAUAUCGACGGCGGUGUUUGGCACCUCGAUGUCGGCUCAUCACAUCCUGGGGCUGAAGUAGGUCCCAAGGGUAUGGCUGUUCGCCAUUUAAAGUGGUACGCGAGCUGGGUUUAGAACGUCGUGAGACAGUUCGGUCCCUAUCUGCCGUGGGCGCUGGAGAAUUGAGGGGGGCUGCUCCUAGUACGAGAGGACCGGAGUGGACGCAUCACUGGUGUUCGGGUUGUCAUGCCAAUGGCAUUGCCCGGUAGCUAAAUGCGGGAGAGAUAAGUGCUGAAAGCAUCUAAGCACGAAACUUGCCCUGAGAUGAGUUCUCCCUGACCCUUUAAGGGUCCUGAAGGAACGUUGAAGACGACGACGUUGAUAGGUCGGGUGUGUAAGCGUAGCGAUACGUUGAGCUAACCGAUACUAAUGAACCGUGAGGCUUAACCUUACAACGCCAAAGGUGUUUUG